AAAUUGAAGAGUUUGAUCAUGGCUCAGAUUGAACGCUGGCGGCAGGCCUAACACAUGCAAGUCGAACGGUAACAGGAAGCAGCUUGCUGCUUUGCUGACGAGUGGCGGACGGGUGAGUAAUGUCUGGGAAACUGCCUGAUGGAGGGGGAUAACUACUGGAAACGGUAGCUAAUACCGCAUAACGUCGCAAGACCAAAGAGGGGGACCUUCGGGCCUCUUGCCAUCGGAUGUGCCCAGAUGGGAUUAGCUAGUAGGUGGGGUAACGGCUCACCUAGGCGACGAUCCCUAGCUGGUCUGAGAGGAUGACCAGCCACACUGGAACUGAGACACGGUCCAGACUCCUACGGGAGGCAGCAGUGGGGAAUAUUGCACAAUGGGCGCAAGCCUGAUGCAGCCAUGCCGCGUGUAUGAAGAAGGCCUUCGGGUUGUAAAGUACUUUCAGCGGGGAGGAAGGGAGUAAAGUUAAUACCUUUGCUCAUUGACGUUACCCGCAGAAGAAGCACCGGCUAACUCCGUGCCAGCAGCCGCGGUAAUACGGAGGGUGCAAGCGUUAAUCGGAAUUACUGGGCGUAAAGCGCACGCAGGCGGUUUGUUAAGUCAGAUGUGAAAUCCCCGGGCUCAACCUGGGAACUGCAUCUGAUACUGGCAAGCUUGAGUCUCGUAGAGGGGGUAGAAUUCCAGGUGUAGCGGUGAAAUGCGUAGAGAUCUGGAGGAAUACCGGUGGCGAAGGCGGCCCCCUGGACGAAGACUGACGCUCAGGUGCGAAAGCGUGGGGAGCAAACAGGAUUAGAUACCCUGGUAGUCCACGCCGUAAACGAUGUCGACUUGGAGGUUGUGCCCUUGAGGCGUGGCUUCCGGAGCUAACGCGUUAAGUCGACCGCCUGGGGAGUACGGCCGCAAGGUUAAAACUCAAAUGAAUUGACGGGGGCCCGCACAAGCGGUGGAGCAUGUGGUUUAAUUCGAUGCAACGCGAAGAACCUUACCUGGUCUUGACAUCCACGGAAGUUUUCAGAGAUGAGAAUGUGCCUUCGGGAACCGUGAGACAGGUGCUGCAUGGCUGUCGUCAGCUCGUGUUGUGAAAUGUUGGGUUAAGUCCCGCAACGAGCGCAACCCUUAUCCUUUGUUGCCAGCGGUCCGGCCGGGAACUCAAAGGAGACUGCCAGUGAUAAACUGGAGGAAGGUGGGGAUGACGUCAAGUCAUCAUGGCCCUUACGACCAGGGCUACACACGUGCUACAAUGGCGCAUACAAAGAGAAGCGACCUCGCGAGAGCAAGCGGACCUCAUAAAGUGCGUCGUAGUCCGGAUUGGAGUCUGCAACUCGACUCCAUGAAGUCGGAAUCGCUAGUAAUCGUGGAUCAGAAUGCCACGGUGAAUACGUUCCCGGGCCUUGUACACACCGCCCGUCACACCAUGGGAGUGGGUUGCAAAAGAAGUAGGUAGCUUAACCUUCGGGAGGGCGCUUACCACUUUGUGAUUCAUGACUGGGGUGAAGUCGUAACAAGGUAACCGUAGGGGAACCUGCGGUUGGAUCACCUCCUUACCUUAAAGAAGC
rnacentral:rRNA from 2 species